GGGGGUGUAGCUCAGUGGUAGAGCCCAUGCUUGGUGUGCAUGAGGUUCUGGGUUCAAUCCCCAAUGCCUCUG
rfam:Camelus ferus unplaced genomic scaffold scaffold129, whole genome shotgun sequence.